rnacentral:lncRNA from 1 species
UAAAAUAGUGCGAAUCCUUCCAAAUGUUUAGUCUCAUAGCUUAAUUUUUCUUGGUUUAAACUCGUUUCAGUCUUAACAAGUUGCUAGUAUGUCUUUGUUGUUGUACACCUGAAUCUGCCAAGUCGAACAUAUUGUCGUGUUUGCGUUGUCCUACCCAAGUGUCCGUCCCUCUGUUUGUUGUGGGCUGUUAUUUGUUAUUGUCUUUAAAAUCACAGCAAUCUCAGAAUCAGUAGAUGUGGCAGUAGCAUGUUGUUUAUUAUGUUUCUGGAUUUGAUAAUUUCCUUUCCUCUUCAUUUGAGUCUUGUUACAAUCUUAUGGUCCAAUGUGUCAUGUUAGAAUUGAGCUUGUGUUGUCUCUGUUUCAUUUAGAUUCCCGUCAAAAAUCAUUUGCUACUCGUAGUGGACUUAAGGUCAAGGACGAGAUUUUGUUGCCUUCCAAACCUUGGCUCGUUCCAACACUCGUUUUCCUUUAACCGAAUGCCUAACCGUGAGCUUUAAAUUAGAUGCCCAGUAUUUGGUUUAAUUUAGAUUAUUAGGCUGCAAAAAUAUGAUAGUUAUCUAAAUAUGUGCUAAGACUACAUUGAUCUAUGUGCUUAACCGUUAGACUUAAAGGCUCUCAACGUGGUUAUCACACCAAUUUGUUUAGAACAUGAAUUUGUAACUGAUAAGCUUGCUGCAGUUCUGCCUCUCUUUAUGGCCUCUUCGUUUUCCUUUUAUUUCUUACUUUGGAUAGUGUAUGAAAUGACAAAGUUGCUUUCCAUUUCCUUAUUUUAGUUUUAGCUUUUUUUCAUUGUAAUAAAUGUCUCUCCAUGCCAAGUUCUCUUAAAUCAUUUAUAUGGUAUUAAUUUUCUUUUAAUAUGCAUUUGCCAAUAUCUGUAAUCAAGGACAAUCAACCUUGGAUUGGCUACUGAUACGUUUUUUUAAUCCAAAAGCAUUGCCUUGUGAUUUUCUUUUACAAUGGCAUUAUAGUUGAGUUUUUUUUUGUUUUGUUUUGAAUUAUUUUGCUAGAUAUGUGUCGGACUAACCCUCUUAUCACUCUUUCUUUGCAUGUGAAAUCUGCCCCGAGUCCAUUUUGGACUCUCAUUUCCUAUCCUUGCAUCUCCUCGUUGGUCCAAAGGCCCAACCUUACCCCUUAUCGAGUCAGCCAAAGCAAUAGAACGGAAAUACAGGGCUGGAAACCCAGAUAAAGGCUUCCAAAAGUCCUAAGAUGGACAAUAUACGUUCAAUAUACGCUAUAUGCUGCUGUAUACACUUAUAUACAGGUCAAGAACGCAAAAAUACAGGGCUAAGGCGAAAUACAGUUAUUCGGAAGCAAGAAAUACAUGAAAAGGGCUGAUAUACAUGCCGAUAUACACUGAUAUACAUCAGCGGUAUACCAAAAACGGGAUUGAGUAAAUCCCCAGAAAUUACAGUGAAAUUGGCCCAAAAAGGAGGCCCAAAUUCAAUUUCUAACUUAUUUAAUUGUGUGAUUAUUUAUUUAUUUGUUUUUUU